AGCACAACAAAGCACAGCAGUUCGGCGGUUAACACGGCACCACCGGCCAGAGUAAAUGGAACCUCACGUCGUCCGAGCGUUGGAAAAAUGGAGGGGUUUUUCCUGCUCGUCCUCAGCUGUCUCGGUGUCUCUCGAGUCACAGCUGAUAGCUUGUCGCCUCCUGUCAAUGUGACCAUCAGAGCACUGAAAGCUAACUCUGCUGUGGUGACAUGGGACAUCCCCGAGGGAGACUUUGUCAUUGGCUUUGCCAUCACACAGCAGAAGAAAGACGUGCGCAUGCUGCGGUUCAUCCAGGAAGUCAACACCACCACACGUUCUUGUGCAUUAUGGGACUUGGAGGAAGAGACAGACUACAUUGUGCAUGUCCAGUCCAUCAGCAUGUCUGGAAUGAGCCCACUGAGCGAACCGUUGCGCUUUCGAACGCCGAAGGAGGCCGAGACUCAGGCCUCUAAGAGUAAAGACGAAGUGACAAUGGAGGAAGUGGGCCAGACCACGCAGCUGAGGGCAGGGGAGCUCAUCAUCAUUGUGGUGGUACUUAUCAUGUGGGCAGGUGUGAUUGCUCUCUUCUGUCGCCAGUAUGACAUAAUUAAAGACAACGAGCCCAACAAUAACAAGGACAAAGCCAAAAACUCCUCAGAGUGCAGCACUCCUGAGCACCCAACGGGGGGGCUGUUGCGUAGUAAGGUAUAACCCACUCCCCUCCUCCUCUCCCUGGGUGCCUCCCUGCAGCGGCGCCGGGCAGUUCCCCAAGAACAACAACAACAGCAGCAGGAUGCCAUCUGUCAAUAUCAUUGAGGUGUGACUGCCAGGACAACUUCUCUUUAUCCAAAAGACUUUGUGUUCUCACAAACAAGCAGGCCCUUUUAAGCCCAUCUGCUCGUCACGAUGAGGCUGGGACUCUAGGCCCCUGGGCCUACUCUUCUUUGGCACAGGGCCUGGCACUGAGGCGGGAUGGCCGUGCUCCCGGGGUGGGGCACAGUGCUGCUCUGAGAGCAGUCGGCAGUGGAGAUACUGUGGGGAGAGUUUAGUGGUUGCACCAUGCUCAAUAACUACUGUACCAUGGGGCAGCAGAGAUGAGGACCAGCUGGCUCCAGCGGUGGAGGGACUGCAGAGAAACCAACCCCAGGGACCAAAGCCAGAGACCUGUUCAUUCUCUCGCUCAUUCAGUCACUGUCAUUCAGUGAAUUAUCAACAACCACAAACCUGAACAUUUCCAAUUACUGGGUGGCACUGAGCUGCAUCCACUUUGUCGAAACCAUCUCCUACUUUAUUCUCAUCUUCACCUAAUUUCUCUAUAACAUCCUGUUUUCUUAAUCAAAGGUAAAUACUGUAGAUGGUUCAAUAGUAUCACUGUAGUUUUACUUCUCUGGUUUUUAACAAGGUGCCACCAGAACAGUCCUGUUGUUCUGGUAUCUUUUUUUAGUUUAGAUGCUCCACUCCUUGGGCAGAAACUUUUCGCCAUCCUGUGGGGAAUGUUUUCCCCCUCAGGACAUCAAGGCUCCACCUGGCCAAUUAAGAGCCAUGUGUUGGAUGUGCUGUGAUGACGCCAGAGCAGCUUUAGAUGGAUUCACUUGGCUCAUAACCAGCGCUGACUCACCCAGUUCAGUUUAGUCCAAGAAGAUGAAAGUCAUAAACUCAUACUGAAAAGCAUCUCUGAUCUGAACACUUAUUUUUGACAUCCACUUACUUUUUCAUGCUUAAGAUUUCUGAAAUGUCACAUUCCACAUCUAGGAUGAACCCUUUAGUGUUUCCUUGUGUCCUUCUCUUUGAGGUUGAUGCAUUUCAAAGCAUUCUGGGAAAGGACAAAGAGACAAACUAAAUAAUGAACUUUAAAAGGGGCUGGACUCUAUGGAUGUCUACAGAGGAGUGGACUAAAGAAAUCCCUUCUAUCAGCAAUAACAGCCCUCGGUGGAGUGUGGGAGCAAGGACCUAAACUCUGUAGCCUCUUUGUCCAAAACUCAACCUCCCAGCAUGCAAUGUUCAGACAGAUGAACAACCCACAGAUCAGAUAUAAGGUGAAUCCCCAUCCCUCCUCUGAACUUUUAGAAAAACGUUUUUCAGCGCUGUUGUAAAAUCGUCUGAUGGCGAGUACUGGGGGGGGG